rnacentral:rRNA from 1 species
GGAAUAUUGGACAAUGGGGGCAACCCUGAUCCAGCGAUGCCGCGUGUGUGAAGAAGGCCUGCGGGUUGUAAAGCACUUUCAGUAGGGAAGAAAUCCUGAGGAAUAAUACUUCUCAGGCUUGACGUUACUUACAGAAGAAGCACCGGCUAACUCCGUGCCAGCAGCCGCGGUAAUACGGAGGGUGCGAGCGUUAAUCGGAAUUACUGGGCGUAAAGCGCGCGUAGGCGGCCAUGCAAGUCGGUUGUGAAAUCCCCGGGCUUAACCUGGGAAUUGCAUUCGAUACUGCAUGGCUUGAGUAUGGUAGAGGGUAGUGGAAUUCCGGGUGUAGCGGUGAAAUGCGUAGAUAUCCGGAGGAACACCAGUGGCGAAGGCGGCUACCUGGACCAAUACUGACGCUGAGGUGCGAAAGCGUGGGGAGCAAAC